rnacentral:lncRNA from 1 species
UACACGGUAAUCAUAACUGUACAUUCAUUCUACUGAAACGACAUCAAAAUGUGUGUUCCAACGACCUUCUUAUUACAUUAAUAAUAAUAAAUCUCAUUCCCAGGUUCUUAAACCAUUACAUUCUUUGUUCAUCAUAAUAUAAUACGUAUACAUACUAGUCUAUUACAAGGUAAACUAAUCAUUCAUCUUUGGCUUGCCUUUAUCUCUACUGGAAACUUCAGUUCGCUAGUCUUUAGCU